rnacentral:rRNA from 1 species
AUUGAACGCUGGCGGCAGGCUUAACACAUGCAUGUCGAGCGGUAACAGGGGGUGCUUGCUCCCCGCUGACGAGCGGCGGACGGGUGAGUAAUGCAUAGGAAACUGCCCAGUAGUGGGGGAUAGCCCGGGGAAACCCGGAUUAUUAAUACCGCGUACCUUCUUGGGGGGAAAGGGGAUCUUUUCACCAUGUGCUGCUUGUUGUGUGUCUCUGUCUCAUAUUAUCUAGUUGGUGGGGUAAAGGCCUACCAGGGAGACUAUCCGUAUCUGGUCUGAGAGGAUGAUCACCCACAUCGGGACUGACACACGGCCCGAUCUCCUACGGGAGGCAGCAGUGGGGAAUAUUGGACUGUGGGGGCAACCCUGAUCCACCCGUGCCGCGUGUGUGAAGAGCGCUUUCGGGUUGUAAAGCUCUUUCAGUGAAGAAGAAAACUCUGCGACUAAUACUCGUAGGGCUUGACGUUACUCACAGAAGAAGCACCGGCUAUCUCCGUGCCAGCAGCCGCGGUAAUACAGAGGGUGCACGCGUUACUCAGAAUUACUGGGCGUAGAGCGCGCGUAUGUGGUUUGAUAAGCGAGAUGUGAAAGCCCCGGGCUUAACCUGGGAACGGUAUUUCAAACUGUCGCGCUAGAGUAUGGUAGAGGGUAGUGGAAUUUCCUGUGUAGCGGUGAAAUGCGUAUAUAUAGGAAAGAACACCUGUGGCGAAGGCGGCUACCUGCACCAAUACUGACUCUGAGGUGCGAAAGCGUGGGGAGCAAAACGAGAUUAAAUACCCUGUUUCUCCACGCCAUACACUAUGUCUACUACCCGGUGGGUCUUCUUGAACUCUUAGUGGCCGCUCUGACGCUAAAUAUAGACCGCGGGGAGAGUGCGGGCACGAGGAUAAAUCUAAAGAGAAGAGGCGGGGGCGCGCACGAGCGGGAGCACAUGUGGUAUUUUUAGGCGCCGCGAGGAGCACCACACGUCGCCGACACACACAGAGAACUCUACAGAGAGAGAGGGGCGCUUUGGAGAUCUGAGACACAGGUGGCACAUGGCUGUUGUCAUCUUGUGUUGAGAGAUGGUGGGAUAAGUCGUGUAGAGAGCGCAACCCAUAUCCAUAGGUGAGCACAUUUGGGGAGAGAUCUAUAGAGAGACCGGCGGAGACAAAGGGGGAGAAGGGGGGGAAGAUGUCAUGUUCUCGUGCCCUAUGCGCACAGGGACACACACGUGACACAAGGGUGCGCACAGAGGGGCGCAAACCCGAGAGGGGGACACUAUCUCACAAAACGUAUUAUUGUGGGGAUCGCUAGUGCACAUCUAGAGUGGAAGAUAGUGAGGAAUCGGUAGUAAUGAGUAAUGAAGAACGUCGCGAAGAAUAUGUUGCCCGGCGUACUCCACACCGGCCGUCACACCAGAGGAGAGGACACCACCAGAAGUGGUUAGUCUAUCGUUAGGGAGGUCGACCAGCAGCGGUGCAGGUCAGGAGUGAGUGGAAGCAAUGACAAGGUAGCCG